ACCAGAAAAAUUAUCUUCUCUCAUUCUCAUAUUCUCCCAUAUUAGACGUUAAGAAAACUUGACUUCAUAUUUCACAAGGGGAAUGCUAUGCUAGACUUACCACAUUUUUAUACCAUAUUGUGUACUACCUCUCUGGUUACAGGGACAGAGAGAAACCUGUGGCCAGUCCAAUGCUUAUAUAUCUAAGAAAGGCUCAAGUUCCUCUGCUAAUCAUGUGCAAAACAAUCCCACUAUGCAAGAGUUGAAGUCUGCCAUGCCAAACCUCUCUAAUAGUGAGUAUCAGCAGAUUCUUACCAUGAUGAAUGAUAAGAAAGAGCCACAAUAAAACUCUGCAGGACUUGGCUAUAAGGAAGAUGAUUGGUUUGGGUAAACAGCAAGGAAGCUUUUACUAUCUGGUUUCUUUGACGUCAGACAAGCCUUCCCUCCUCCAACCAUCUUGCAACCAUGCUCAUGCCUCUCACCUCUAGCAUAGCCAUUUAGGUCAUCCAUCAUCUUCUCGUUUACAAUUUUUAGCUAAGAAUGUUUUGAAUUUCCCUUUUUCAAAUAAUGCUUGCGCGGUUUGUCCCUUGGCAAAACAAACUCGAGUACCUUUUAAUUUAAGUUCCAUUUCCUCUUCCAAAUCAUUCUCUCUUAUUCAUUGCGACAUUUGGGGGCCUCAUAAAACUACAUCUUUUUCAGGGGCCCGUUAUUUUCUAACUAUUGUGGAUGACUUUACUAGGUUCACAUUGUUAUUUCUCAGCAACAUAAAUCUAAAACACAGAACUUGCUUAAAUCUUUUUUUGCCUUUGUCCAGACACAAUUCAAUUCUAAAAUACAACAAAUACGGGCUGAUAAUGGAGGUGAAUUUUCUUCCAUGCGCCGUUUCUUUCAUGAACAUAGGGUCAUCUAUCAACAUACUUGCGUCUACACAUCACAACAAAAUGGUGUUGUAGAGCGCAAGCAUUGACAUAUCAUAAAGAUGGCUAGGGCUUUACAUUUUUAGGCAAAUCUCCCUAUUUCUUUUUGGGGGGGAGUGUGUUCUCACCGCCAUAUACUUGAUCAAUCGUCUACCCGCUGCCCUUUUAUCCAAGCAAUCCCCCUAUGAGAAGUUGUACCAUAAACCUCCUUCUUACACUCACCUCCGCAUUUUUGGUUGUUUAGCCUAUGCCACCAUUGUCCAACCUUCCCAUAAAUUUGACACUAGAGCCAAGCGCUGUGUUUUUCUCAAUUACCCUUUUGGUCAAAAGCCUACAAAUUAUUUGAUCUUACCACUAGAAAAAAUUUUACCAGUCGUGAUGUCGUUUUUCAUGAGAGUCAUUUUCCUUUCAAAAGUUUACCUUCUUCCUCUCACACAGAACCUCCACCUCCUAUUUUAGCUCUUCCUUUAUCUGAUUUGUCAUCUACUCCACUUAUCUCUCCAGACCUAACCUCACCACGUACUCCAUCUCCUUCCGCCCCACUUGAUCUCACGGCUUCUUCCGACAUUGUUGCCCCCGUUUUCCCCUCUGACAUCGUUACCGCAUCACCUCCAUCACCACCUUCUUCUCCUUCUGUACCACCAGCCCCCAUCCACCACUCUCUUCCCAAAAAGGUUAAACCACCCCGUCUCUAAGAUUAUGUUUGCUCACAGGUCACUUUACCCACGAUUGACCAAUCAUCAGACUCUUUGCCAUGUCGCACCACAGGUACUCGUUAUUCCCUUUCUAACUUUCUUUCUUAUCACUGUUACUUACCCUUACAUUUUACUUUCAUUGCCAAUAUUAGUCAGCUAGUGGAACCUAACACUUUUGCAAAGGCUGUUUCUAAUCCACACUGGCAAAAGGCCAUGCAAUCUAAACUUGCGGCUUUAGAAUCCACUCAGACUUGGUCCCUCACUUAUCUUCCU